AGUGAACGCUGGCGGCAGGCCUAACACAUGCAAGUCGAACGGCAGCACAGUAAGAGCUUGCUCUUACGGGUGGCGAGUGGCGGACGGGUGAGGAAUACAUCGGAAUCUACUUUUUCGUGGGGGAUAACGUAGGGAAACUUACGCUAAUACCGCAUAUGACCUACGGGUGAAAGCAGGGGAUCUUUGGACCUUGCGCGAUUGAAUGAGCCGAUGUCGGAUUAGCUAGUUGGCGGGGUAAAGGCCCACCAAGGCGACGAUCCGUAGCUGGUCUGAGAGGAUGAUCAGCCACACUGGAACUGAGACACGGUCCAGACUCCUACGGGAGGCAGCAGUAGGGAAUAUUGGGCAAUGGGCGCAAGCCUGAUCCAGCAAUACCGCGUGAGUGAAGAAGGCCUUCGGGUCGUAAAGCCCUUUUGUUGGGAAAGAAAAGAAGCAGGUUAAUACCCCGCUGUUCUGACGGUACCCAAAGAAAAAGCAACGGCUAACUUCGUG
rnacentral:rRNA from 1 species